rnacentral:rRNA from 1 species
UACGUAGGGGGCGAGCGUUGUCCGGAGUUACUGGGCGUAAAGCGCACGCAGGCGGUCUGUGAAGUUUGGAGUGACAGUUGGUGGCUCAACUACCAAAGUGCUUUGAAAACUGACAGACUUGAGGGCUUCAGAGGGACACGGAAUUCCGGGUGGAGUGGUGAAAUGCGUAGAGAUCCGGAGGAACACCAAAGGCGAAGGCAGUGUCCUGGGGAGUACCUGACGCUCAGGUGCGAAAGCCAGGGGAGCGAACGGG